rnacentral:lncRNA from 11 species
UCUUCCUGCGUCAAUGCUUCUAUUAAACCUUCAUCUCAUUCCUCUGUGUUUCUCUUCCCUCCCCAAAUCCAGCUCAGAUGCGUUCUCUGAAGGAUGAGUACGAUUCCCUGCAAGGAGUGAAGGAUGUUGAGCUGGAACGCGUCGAACGGGAGCUACGGGAAGCCAACGAGGAGAUCCACAACCUGCGCUUGGAUGCCGAGGAGGCCGCCGCUUUGCACGAAAACGAAAUCGCUGGCUUGCAAGAGGAGCUUUGCCGGCUGAAAGCGGAGCUGGAUCGGGUGCAGCAGGUCCGGAACGAGUAUGACAUGGAAAUCACUGCCCUGAGGGCCGAGAUCAAUAUGAAGAAGUCACCUCCAGGCACAUCAGCCAGCCCGUCUGUGUCUGAGUUGGCUACGAUGUCAGAUAUGGAAGAGCAGCUUUCCAACGCCAAUGAGGAAGUGGGCCACCUACAAGAGGAACUCCAGACCCUCAAGGCUCAAUACCACGACCUGAGCGACGAGUACCAGAUCUUGCAGGAGAGCAACAGGGUCAUGGUCCACCAGCUGGAGAGACUGGAAGCCAUCAAGUACAAGACCAGAAGCAAGUCGGAAUCCGAGUCCAUGGACUCGGAUUCAGAGCCGGAGCAGGUCCCGGUCGAUCCCAGCAUCCGCCGGGUCUCCAUCGCCCGGAGGAACACCCUGCGCGCGGGCGCCAGCGUCUCCUUCAAGUCGGUGGAGGUCGUGGGCACCAGCAGCACGGAGGGCGAGGAGAAGAUGGAGAAGCUGGAGGAGGAGGACGAGUAUGACCUAGAGAACCAGCUGAUGAUGGAGGAGGAGAAGGUGGAGCUGGUGCAGGCGCAAUACGAACCAGACACAUUCAGCUUGUCCCAGUCCAGCCACUACGGGUGGAGGACUAAGUCCAGAGAUCUCACGGAAGGAGAGUUCUCAGGAAGAAAGGCCUCUGAGUACGAACCAGACACAUUCAGCUUGUCCCGGUCCAGCUACCGCGGGUGGAGGACUAAGUCCAGAGAUCUCACGGAAGGAGAGUUCUCAGGAAGAAAGGCCUCUGAGUACGGACCAGACUCAUUCAGCUUGUCCUCGUCCAUCCACCGCGGGUGGAGGGCUAAGUCCAGAGAUCUCACGGAAGGAGAGCUCGCAGGAAGGAAGGCCUCUGAGCAGCCUGACGAACCCGUAUCGAUUCUGUGCAAUAAGGAGAGCCAGCGCAGCCACACCGACAGGUAA